rnacentral:lncRNA from 1 species
CUGCUUGCCUCUUGUGUCUUGUCUCGUUGCCGUCGUAAGGCUGUACCUGUACCUGAUGAUGUGGUUACUGCCCUACCAACUACCAAGUUAUCAUCAAUCCUAUUACUAAAUGUUAAAUUCAUUCUUCUGGGUGAAAUUCUAAUCCUUUACGUCUUUGAUGGGUUUCACCACGUCAUGCACCGGUUUUCACCAUUACACCUUCUUAAUGCAACCGAAUGAUUCAACCAAUUGUAGUUGAAAACAAGGCAUACACAAAGAUGUAAAUUUUCUUAAUCAUAUUUCUUUUAUAGCUAAUGAAGUCAGUAGUAGAAGUAAUCUCCUUUUAUCCACUCAGUUCCUUGUUAAAUCUUAAAUGUCAUGACAGAGGGGAGUGUCAGUCCCACUAUGACUCUGGUCAUGAACACCAGGGGAAAAUAACCCAGGAAGUUUGUACAGGUGCACGAGAAAACUUAACCGAUUGGUUUUGACAUCUGAAUUUUUCUUUCCCACGUUGAUUUUAAUACGCUCAGGCACAAACAGAAUUGCGAAUCAAGACUAGUUUAUGACGGAAGGGACCUAAAAACUACUCGGUUUCUCUUUCAAGCCAAGGAUUCUGAUGCUGUAAAUAAAUUCUUCCUUCUUCGCUUUAUCUCUGAGAUACCGCCUUUACUGUCUAGUUAACUGGUUGGUUGGUGGCUACAGAAUUUCCAAAACGACGAUUGGCGAACCAGUUAGACUGGAGCUGGACUGACACUAAUGUGUUAGGGAAAAAUUGGCAUUGCAAAAGCAGAGUUAUAGAGUUGAUGGUACGCUCACCCUGUAGGAUUUGGCCAUAAGGCUUUGUCCGCAAGUGUUACUUAUCUACCGCAGAGGCGCCUGGUGGUUGUUUGGUGCAAUGAAACGAAAUAUUUUCGCGCGAGUUUGUUUAAACCUUUGUAUUGAUGUUAACUUCUGGUUUUGGCAAUGUAUUUUUGCGUGAAUAGAAGUUCUUGACAUUUUUU